rnacentral:tRNA from 1 species
GGGGGUGUUCACCGGAUGAUGCGGGAGAGCGCUUGAAUGGCAUUCAAGAGGUCAGCGGUUCGAUCCCGCUUAUCUCCACCA